UUUGUUGUAGUGCUGGCGGCCGCCACAGUUACUGCAUCAAUCCCCCAGUUGUUAGUAGUUCUCCUUCACCUUAAUUGUGAUAUUAUAUGAUUACAUGUAUAGUGCGAGAAAUAUGCACUUAACGAAUCUUGAGAUUGUUGUGAAACGUGCAUUUUCAUGGAAAUCUCCCCUGCUUGACCAGAGUAUCAAUCCAUGAAGUGACAAUGGUGUUACACACUAAUGCACACACUAAUGCACACACUAAUGCACACACUAAUGCACACACUAAUGCACACGCAUUGUUUCACAAGAUCAAAUAUGAAAAUUGUAAUCAAACCAAGCAUUGUGUGUGAUACAAAUUAUAGCUUGAGGAUAGAUGCUUCGUUUCAUACCGGGCUUCCAUCAGUAUUGGUCUGCAAGUUUCAACGGAGAAGGAUGAAGUUGCCCAACUAAAAAAAGUUAAAGGGGGACUGAACUUCAUCAUUUAGCCACAUUUUUCAUAUUUUGCUCAUUAAGAAAUGCAGCAGCCAUGACUGAAGCCAAAUGAGAGUUGUCUUGUACAUUCACUCCACCAAAACAGUACACAAUUAGAGUCACUCACCCUUAUAGAUAACUUGAACCAGUCAAACCAGGUCAUUUUCAUGUUGCACACCUUUUAAUUUUCUUAUUAAAUGCUUUAAAUGUUUGUAUAUGAAUUUCUAUCAUUUAUAGUUGGAGGUUUUUAAGUCAUAAUUUGGAGAUAUUGUAGUUUGAAAUUUGAGGCUAACUCCCCAGUCCCUGCUGAUGACAAGCACACCCAUAACAUGAAAAUACAGACAGUUUCACUUUGCAUUGGAUUUGACCCAAUACUUUAGUUUUUUAAUUCAUGCCAGAAAGUACAAAUCUUAGCCGAGUUGACGGUCGUUACUUAACGGUCCUGUUGGAAACGGAAUGGAUGAAGUAGUGAUUUAAUGGAUGAUUUGUCGUGGAUUAAUGAAUACAGGCCGAAGCAUGAGGUCAUGUUGUUGAGCUUCAGGAUUAUUAUUGCAUUUUGUUUUGUGUUUUUUACUCUUAUUCAAUUUUACGGUGGAAUAUGAUUCAUUGUUAUGUUUGUUUAGAUUUGUCAUGGAGGAAUUUUGCUGUGACUGACGGAGGUGUGAAAAUGCCUCUGAAUGACAUGCCAUUUUUAAGUACAAGGUUUCGCCUUAGUUUAAAAUAAAGCUGUUGUCGUAUUAACAGGAAGGAAAUGAUGAACUAUUAAUGCUUCUUGUAUUAUAUUUGAUGUUGAAUGGUCAGUGACAUUUCUUAUGACUAUAGUUAGUGAUUGCUAAAUGGAGACACCUUUUAUUGUGUAUUGAGUGUAAAUGUAUGUUUGUUUCUGUUUGGGGUAGGAAAGAAAACUGUGUCAUUGACAGCUACACCACUAUCCUUGUGUUUGGCAUUGACUGUUUACAGUAGCUCAUUCAGCUAGGUUAUUCCUUGUGUUUGGCAUUGACUGUUUACAGUAGCUCAUUCAGCUAGGUUAUUCCUUGUGUUUGGCAUUGACUGUUUACAGUAGCUCAUUCAGCUAGGUUAUUCCUUGUGUUUGGCAUUGAGUAGCUCAUUCAGCUAGGUUAUUCCUUGUGUUUGGCAUUGACUGUUUACAGUCGCUCAUUCAGCUAGGUUAUUCCUUGUGUUUGGCAUUGACUGUUUACAGUAGCUCAUUCAGCUAGGUUAUUCCUUGUGGGGGAACAUUUGUUAGCACGUCUUGUUGUUAUUGUUCCUAAUAUGUGUGAUGAGAAUUGCAGCUUUCAUCACAGCCCCUUUAGACCAGGCUUUUUGUUACAUUUCUCAACUAAGUUUGUGUGAUUUCAGCAUAGGCAAUACCAGUGGGGCCCCACUGAUGGAGGAGUGAUUAAGCCAUGGCAAUCAAUUGGCUGAUUCCCAAAUCCUCUAGAUUUUUACAUUUACUUGAAUAUUUAUUUAAUCUAGAAUUAUACCAGAAGCUGGACAUGGGUAAUAGUAAUUAAUUAAACAUAUUCUAAUGCAUCAAAUUCAAGUCAGAUUCCGCGCCUGUGUUAUUCUAUGUUAUUCCUCACUCAAGUUGGAUGUAUAUUGGACUGGCACUGCCAAACCGUGCUUUUUAGAAGGCUAGUUUGACAUUUGUUUUAUUGUGAAAUAACUACCCAUGUUCCGCAUGUGUGUUGGGUUCAUUGUUUGAUAUUGUGUGUUGAGGACAGAACCAUGACUCCAUUAUUCAUCGAAUAAUAAAGAUUUUAUGUUGAA